rnacentral:rRNA from 2 species
GGUUAAGCGACUAAGCGUACACGGUGGAUGCCCUGGCAGUCAGAGGCGAUGAAGGGCGUGCUAAUCUGCGAUAAGCGCCGGUAAGGUG